rnacentral:lncRNA from 10 species
CUAUUUUCAUCUUUCUCAUCCUAGUGUUAUCAAGAGAAAAACAGUCUUAGAUGCAACAUAAAAAUUUCAGAGACAGAAGAAAUCUUCCUUUGAGGGCAGGUAAGCCAAUUAAUAUUCUGCUUUGUAACAGAUUAUAUAUCCCAGUCAAAAUAGAAAUCAAUGACUUGUAAUGUUUUAUGUUUGUUUAUUUUUUGUAAAUAUAGAAGCAUAAGUUAUCAUUAUCCAAAAGUCCCAUAGAUGCAAGAAACCAAAUCAAAAUAUACCAGAAUUAAAAGGGUGUAAACAAAAAACUGACACUUCAUAAUAUCGAUUAGAGGUACAGACUCUGGAGCCAGACUAAAGAUUAAAUCAUGUCUCUGAACUACUGGGCUGAAUAACCUUAAGCAAGUUACUUAACCUCUCAGUUCCUCCAUUUCAUCAUCUAGAAAAUAGGAAUAAUCACAGUACAUACUUUAUAAUGAGGGAUAUAGUGAGGGAUAAUGAGGAUUAAACGUGUACCAAUAAUACUAUCAUUCUUUAUGACUAUGUUUACAUUAUGUAAAUAAAACCUACUUAUAACUUGAAUAAAGAAAAUUUUCAAGCAUAUUUAAUUAUAUAAUUCCUUAUAAUGCCUGAAAACCUCAUAAAAUCUAAUUCAUAUCAAUCAUUGGGGUGAAUUACAAACCAUUUUCUAUUUGUUAAACAGACAUACAUAAAUAUCCUCAAUGGUGUUAAGGCUUGAGAAAACUACCAUUUGUUUCCAUAAUACAAAGUAAUUUGUAAAAAUCAAAUAAUUCAAUUAUAGCCUAUCUAGGAUAUUUUCUGAAAAUAUUACAAAGACUUUUCAAAUUGUCAGGCUAUUCUUAUACAUUCACAUUUACAUCAUUUUUAUGUGUAGUGCAGUACAAUUCAUACAUUAACCUAAUACUGAGAUCUGCAAUACAGAACUUUGUCAGAACUUGAAAUCUGGUUAUAGUAUUAAAUUAAUAGAACACUAAUGAAACUGAAAUGCUGUUGGGAUCAGUCCAAAAUGAUUUUAUUUUCCCAAUCACUUCGCUUUUUUGUUGCUUGAGAUUUUCAUUUGGACUCAGGGCACAGAAGAUUCUUUCCUUUUUAUAUUUGCACAAGAGGAAUAAAAUGCUGCAAUGACAAAACAGAAAUUAAAAUAAUUAAUUUGUACUAGAACUUGGGACAAUUAUAGACACUAAGAAAGGAAAUAAAUCAUAAGGACAUCAUUUUUAUGAAUAUGUAGAGGGCUGUAGAUAUGAAUGAUAUGUAAUUUAUAUACUCAGGCUUCUCAUUUAUUUUAUUGUAGAGAAUUGGGUCUUCAGAUUUCAGUAGUUAAUGAUUAGUUAACACAGAGCACCUGGAUUUAGUGUACAGAUUAUGCAACUCAAAAAAUACUAGCAAAACUUAGAAAUCAGAUGGAGAAAUGAAAAUUCUCAAUUAUCUUUGUGAUUCAAAAGGCAGACAAGGUUUGUUUUUAAAGUACGUUAAAAAUAAGAUAUGUUUCUGUGCCGUAUAAGAACAGAAAAAAUAAUGUUUUCUUUAAUUUAUACUUUAUUGUUCAUUGGCAUAUUUGGCAAAUACAAAACUGGUGUUUACAACCGUAGUUAUGAGAUAAGCAUAUACACAGCCGACGAAAUAAGCUAAUUUUCAGAUAAAAGGCACUGUGAAAGGAUUAGCAAAGCACAUGCUCUUUUGUCUUUCUUGUUGAAACACAUUAUAUCAUGUAUCAAUAUAUACUCUAAAGUUAAAACAUACAUCAGCAAACCUUAUAUGAAAUAUUUAUGAAAGAACUGUGACUUUGCAUGCAUUGUACAGUGAAUGCAAAGCUCAAGAAUAGAACAGAUUGAUAUUAUAAACUUCUGUUGAUAAUAUUGGCAGGAACACUCUGAAAUACCUGUUACAAAUGAAAAAAAAGAAGCCAUCUCUUUGAUUAUUCAGAGAAUGCAUACUAUCUCAUGUAAAAGAGUAAAUUGAUGUAAUUUUUCCUAGAAUUUAAAAAAUAAAUUGUAAGAAAAUACCUGCUCUUUUCUAUUAUUCUUUAACUGUGUCUUCAGUAGUACUUUGUGCUAUAAUUUAGCCAAUUUGCCUAUGUUUUAUUGUUCCUCGUCUCCUGCUUCCAGUGCACUAUUUCCCUUUGAUUGAGGAGUUGCUAUGACAGAAGAUAAUGGAGCUUAUGGCACUCAGUGGGGAGCCUGUCACUGCUGACUCUGGCUGCUGCUUUUGUAUUUCUUUGCAUGUACUCCUCUGAUUUUCUCAGGCACAGUGAGAAAUAAUUAUAAAAGCCAUGAGCCAUUAUAAAAUGUUAUACCACCAAAUGGUUAUUUUUAAGAGCCUUUCAAUCUUCUAGGUCUCUUUGUUUAUCCAUAGAAGUGGUAAAUUGUAUCAUUAUUUUUCAUUCAAGCUGAAGCAUAGGGAGGAGAGAUUGUUUUCUGCCUUUGGGGAGGCAAUCUUUUGUUGUGUACAGUUUAUAUUACUUUUUAUUUUACCUCUCAUCUCAUCAAUCAAAAAUCUUAUGCAUCUUGUAUCUUCUAUGCAAAGUCUUCCUUUUCUGACCUUGCUGAGGUUGUCUGCUGUUAAUUCCCAUGUCAGGACCAAGACAUUUUUUGAGGAUGAUCUGGUAGACAUAACUAGUGUUCACCAAUAUCCAGUUCUCAUUCCUUCUCUGCACAAGGAAGACAAUCCUUUUUAGCCCACUUCUAUAUGAGAUUGGUUCAGAAAACCAGUCUGACCAAUGAAAUAUGAGGCACAUGAUAUCUGUCACUUCCGGAAUGUGGAAAAUGUCAUUGAUGAAUCCCUAUACUUUCGCUCCCGGCAUAGCAACCAAGGAGACCUGAUGUCCUAAUGAUGCAGCUACAGAAUUUGAUAUUUCCGAUUGAAAUGCUGUUUUUCUUCCCUGGUACAAUGUUAAAGCUUUAAACUCUUGUCAAUGAUGUGAUGUUUCAUCUGCAAUGAUCUACACUAGAAAAAUAAAAAUGUAGUUACUGACAAAAAAGCAGGAACUACUGCUCUAAGGAAAAAAGGACAGCUACAUGAGGACCACACAACUCCUGGAAGAGGUUUCCCUGGCAACACAACUUUUCCAUUCAUCUGGUUGCAGUGUUUUCAUCCAGUAGCCUGUCACCUCACUCAAAAGCAGGGCAAUGGAGAGAAAGAAACUUACCAAGUUUUUUCUUUUAACUAGAGAGUAGCCUACUUAUUGGGCCCUGCAAUUAAUUUCAGUACUCCAGGCAGAUUUAUAAAGGAAGCUGCUGGAAGGAAUUCAUUCCCUUUUUGCUGUUCUGCCUUCCACCUUCCACUGUGUGAGGACACUGCAAGAAAGCCCUCAUCAGACACCAACUGCCAGCACCUAGAUCUUGGAAUUCUCAGCCUCCAGAACUGUGAGAAACACGUUUCUGUUUUUCUAUAAAAUAAUAAUAAUAAAAAACUUCCAUGCAGGAAAAAAAAUCAAGUUCAAAGGUCCUGUGGUGAGGGCAUACCAGCUUUGUUUGAGAAGCAGUAAUCAUGCCUGUGUGACUGUAAUGAAAGAAUAAAAGAGAAAUGAGCACAGAAGAAUAUAAUGUAGUCCUUUUCAUUUUAAGCAAGAAAUUUGGCUUCAAUUCUAAAUGUGAUAAGAAAAAAACAGAAGGUUCCAAACUGAGAAGUGACAUAAUAUGAAAUGUUUUAACAGAAUCACCUUGUUACCAUAUUGCAAAUAAAAUGAAAGUGCAUCAAGGGCAGAAGUAGGAAGGCAAGUUAUGAGGUCAUUUUGAUAAUCCAGAGGAGCUGGGAUGAUGACUUACAGCAGUAUAGUAGCAAGGGUUGGGUGAGAACGUGGAAUCCUGGGUAUAUAUUAAAGUUUCAGCAAAAAGGAUUUAUAGAUGAAACAGAUAUGGGUUAUGAGAAAGAGUCAAGUUAAAGAUUAUAUCAAAAUUUUUUAUCUGAACAACUGGUAGUAUUGUGGUGAAUCCUUACCCCAUCAAUUUACGUGACCGAUAACUGAGUGGGAACAUUAAGGAAGGGAUGGUUUGAGUGAGAAUCAGGAUCUCAGUUUGGAAAUAUUAAGUUGAAUAUGCCUAUUUAAUAAUCAAAUGAAAAAUAGUAUUUUUGUAAUUUUCAGUAUUUAUUUGGCAAGAGAUUAAAUAAUCUAUAGCAUUGUUACUACUUUCUCUUUUUCAUAAAAGUUAUUUUGGUAUAAAAUCAACCUGACUGGGAACUAUCCAAAUAUAUAAGCCUUUAGCUUUGACCUAUUACUUAUAUUUUUUUGCCAUUAAUAAUAUGAACAUCCACUAAACAAGAACUUGAGACUAUAACUCUUCUCUAUUAAAUCUUCAUAUUAAAUUAGCCAUUUAAAUAGGAUUAUUAUUUUCAUUUAUUGCUGAAUACUUUCCAUUACAUUCAAACUUAUUGAGACAUCCUUAAAUUUUGUAAUUUAUUUAACGGAUUAAUUCCUUAGCUUCUAAACUGGUUUUCUGUACGGCAACCCUAUUUUCUUCUUAAUAACUCAUCAUCUACAUCCCCCAAUGUCUUAUUUUUCCAAAACAAAAGUGCACUAAUGCCCUUCUAGGGCAAAAAUUUCUUUAAUGGCUUUCUAUUGUUAUAGAUAAAGUUCAAACUUAUUAUGACGGCCUAUAAUUUUGGGGAAAAAACUCACCUAAAAACAGUUUUUAAAAGAUUAGAAUUCAAAUGCUUGAAAUUUCAGUUAUUUUAUGAGCUUUCUAUUCAAACAUUUCAGGGAGCUAAGACAUUACAUACUACACUACUACUACUACUACAAAUAAUAAUAAUAACAACAAUUAUAGUUACUCAUCUCAGUUUUGGCAGAGGAUACCAUUUAUAUAAAGAAUGUAAUUUGAUUGUAGCUAUUAAAAUAGUUACUAGACAAGAACUAGGAUGAUGGUAACAUUGACUUUUUAUCUGAAUCCUGGCUAUAUGUUUUCUGUUUGAAAAAAAAGUCAUUAAGUAUAAAAUUAUAAUUUUUAUAAUUUUGGAAUACAUAUUAUAAUAACACAUUUUUUUUAAACUGAGAAUUUAAGAUUUAAAAAGUACAGUAGGGGAAAGAAAAGGAAAAUAUAUUUUCUAUGUGCUUGUUUUAAUAAAUAAUGCCACCGAGGAUGUAAGUUUUCAAUGUCUAAUUAUUAAAUCAGCAUUACUUUCAUUAUUUUAACAACCUUCAUGGGGUUCUUAUAUUGAGACUCAAAUUAAAUAUGUAAUAUUAAUCCUAAUAUAGCUAUUUUUUCCUAACAAGAGCAUAAAACUUCCAAAAUUUCAUUCUGCAUAUUUAUAACUGAAUUUAUGACUGACAUAUUUCUUUUUCAAAUCAUGUCCAUCAUUAUAUGAACGGGUACUGAAUUUAUCCAUAUUUACUUACGUCUUUCUUCAGCCCCUCUGUCAACCCACUUAUCUUUUUGAUAGCUCAGUGAGCUGGCACUAGUUUUGUACCUCAGGAUGUUUACUCUGGCUAAUUUUGCCACUGAUCUUCUAAUGUCUGGUGCUUGGCAAUAAAGUCCCAGUUGGAGUUUUCAACCAACAGCAGUUUGCAUUCAGUUACUUAAUCUCUGUUUUGCAAUCUUAGUACCUUCCUUUCUGAUUGAAUGAAGACAGUUGCUCCUAGGGAUACCUGAACCUGAAAUGAACUGAAAAUAUUUUAUAGCUUUUCAAUUUGCCAGGCAGUAGAAGAAAAAUUCAUACCAAUCCCAUUGCUACAAACAGCUGUUACUAUAAGGUGAUAUUGCUAUGGAAUCCUAAAAUAGAACAAGGCAAAUACCAUCCCUGUGAGGGUUCUACUAUAUUUUGUGGAUCUCCAGCUGGAAACUUAAUUGUAAUAUAAACUGAGCAUACAGAAACAGCUUUCCUGCUUCUAUUCAGCAUACUUUCACUGAAUUGGAUAAUUUAAUCAAUAAGUUACAACACUCUUUAGUGUGAAGCUGCAUAAAAUUCUAGAAGGAGAGAAAAUUUGAUCUUUGAUUUCUAUUAUCUUUAUCUUCCUGCAUUAUAUUCUUCCAUGACUUUAGCUAAUACCUCUCCCCAUCACAAUAAAGUCUUUAAACACUUAGAAUCUAUUUUCUGUUUCUUGUGUCCAUAUCCUAUAACCAAAGACCACCAGGAACACCCCUGAGUUUAUUCUUGUUUACAGCAAUAAAUACUUCACACAAUGGGGAAAUGUGAAGUUAUCUCAGUAAGAGAGUAUUAAAAGAACCUAUUGUAUCAUUUGGGAUUUGGUUAUUUGGGGAAGAAAUUAAGGAAGCAAGACUGCCCUGGAUUGUCUGUUACCAGGAAGUGGGAGCAAUUUUAUGAUUAGGUAUGUCACCAAAUCUUAUCUAUAUGGAUGACAUACUAGAGUGAGGCUAAUGUAAUUGAGGAUAAGGUAACUGCUAAAGAAACAACAGUCACUUGUAUCUGGUAUGUUGUGAUUUGGACAACGUUCCUGUUUUGUUUAUGCUCAGAUAAAAUUAAGGAUUGUUGUUGUUUUUGUCAUUGUCCAUCA